GGUCCUGCACCCACUCCGGGGCCGGGUCCAGUUCCCGCCGCCGCCAUCACUGCCGCCUCCUAGACUUCUCGCGAGAAUACUAUCUGUCUCGCGCGAGCUGCUGACUGCUUCUGUAAUCUUCAAAUAGUAAAGGCUCAUGGGGUGGACGCUGUGCAUUUUCGUGGCCAAGACUGGGAAUCACCGCGCGGAUGAGGCGCCUUGAGAGCAUCGGCUGCCUAUGGACUUGAGCGCUGUGUGUGCAUUGCAGACGUUCCUCACAGUUAAAUGUCCAGAAGGACGAGCACUGACUGCCCCGCCCCAGAAGUAGUUUGUUGUACUGCCUUAGUGAUCUGCCACUUUGAGCACGUUUCCAAGGGGCCUCUAGUCAUGAUGGGAGCCUAGACAGUCUGAAUCCACAGCCUCAGCUACGCAUUCAAGGGCCGGGAAGGGGAUGUGGAUGGAGUAUCCAGGAGGGAGAAGCAAGAAGCUUUGUGUGUUCUAGAAGCUGCAAGCCGCUUAGUACUGUAAAAGGAGAAAAUUGAAGCCCGAGAGUUAGGGAGCCAGGUGCUGGCGGACUUAAAGAGUUUAGAGAAGUUUGGUCCUUGGAGAAAGGAACAGGUAGGGACUAAAGGUAAGAACUUGAGGAAUCAAUGACAGUGUUGGUAGGUGAAAUCAUUGGGGUGAGUGGCAUCUUCGGAGCCACUGUAGUCAAACUUAAGUAUUCCGGCCAGCACAGUUUUCAGGAAAUCACUGUUUACAACCUAAUUCCUAAAAAGUUGUCUAAGGAUACACCUUUCUUUCACGUUGCAAAAGAAAAGCCCACCUCUCUCCAAUCCUGAAUCUAAUCUUACUAUGAUGUGAGUCAUGUAUGGCUCUAGUCAUGAUGGGAGCCUAGACAGUCUGAAUCCACACCCCCAGGGCCAUACAGAAGAACAACUGGAAAUAUGUCGAUAUUUUGAUUUCCCAAUUGGUUCUCAGUUAUUUGUUUUCAACAAAAUUGAAGGAUGACUUAGUUUUGAGUUACCAGCUGAUAGAUUAUUUAAAAAUUUUUUGAUAGAUUAUUUAAAAAGUAGUGGGUGAAACUUGAAGAAGAAGCAGGAUAUUUGCACAGACUCAGAGUAUCUCCCCCCCAAAUAUUUAUGGUAUAGUGGUGGUUUCAACAUAUGGCCACAAAAUCUUUGACACUCUUUCCUCCAGGAAGUGGAGCUUUAAUUCUCCUUCCUCUCUGGUGUAUGGGAUGAACUUAGUGACUUGGUGGUGGUCGAUCAACAUGUGAUUUGGCAUAGACCUUUGAAGGAGUGCAAAGAGUUGAGUUCUAUUGAUUCAAUAAAUCCUAGAUGGGAAUCUGCUUAUUUAUGUAAACAAAGAUUGUCAGCUUUUAACAUCUAUAAAAAUAAAAAAUAGGAAUAGAAUUGUUGCUAAACCUGUUUCAUUCUAGCAAUAGUGAUAUUCAUGCACGGACAUAUGGAUUAACUGGAAAAAUAAAUUCUUAGUCUCAUCAGA